GGAACCUUCCUACCAAUGAAGGUUAGGAAACCUUUUACGUUUUCUUCAGUGAAUUGCCUACCCACAUAAGCCAAGGAGAUUCAAAAUAGAUGUUCUCCAUGCCAGGAGCCAUAGCCUUCAGAGAGUGAAAGUGAGAAGGUUCUGGGAGAUCCCUGAAAAAGAAUGAGACCUUCAGGUACCUCACGAAAUUCCACAUCGCUUCAGAUUUCAGGGAUAGAUGUUGCUUCAGAUAUCCGGGACUCAUUGUGAAUUCAGCUAAUUCAGCAGGCGAUUUGAUGUGUUACCUGAAAACGCACUUUGAAUUCAAAUUCUUGCUUCCUGGCCCCACUGGAGAUGAGGCAAUCCAUGAAGCCCCAGGAGCUGAAUGAGCAGUGGCUGCCUCUGUCUUAAAUGCCCUUGCUGGAAUAGAGAAGUUUGAAAACUAUAAUCUGACUUCUUGAAUUUUUCAAUUGUUGCGGCUGGCAAGAUAGGCUAGUACCUUGCUCCAGGAUGACCAGUGCUAACUCUGGAAAGCAAAAGCAGGAUUUCCCACUCUGAAGUUCUGCCUGUUCCUGUUUAUUGCCUGUACAGGCCAAAUACUGAGUUGGUAUGCGAUGCCUUUUGUAUGAAGAGCUUCCCAAGUGAUGUUAAGUUUCUGCCGUGUCCACAAAGGCUGUGACCCAGGCCUUCCUGAAAGGGAGUCUCUGUCUUAACGGGAAACCCAUGCUACAAAGGGAUUCUCCUGAACAGUAACAGGUGGAAAUCAGGGCUGCUGCUCAAGUAAAGUCUUGCUGCACAGAUUUUAUUCCUUGAAGUCUUCAAGAGGACUUUCAAAGCCUUAUGGUAUAGACCUCCAAAGCACAUUGUCCUGCAGGGUCCUCGUCAGGAGUUGAAAAUAAGGAAAACAGAGGAAGAAAACCAUAAAGAGCAUAUGAAAAGUUAAAAAUACAGAGCUGGAGGUGAACCUAAACACUCAGAGGUAAUUUGCCUUGAGGAGCAAGAACCCUUGAGACCUAUGUGUAGACUUUGGAAAAAAGAAUCUGUGAACAAUAGUAAAGGCUAUGAACGUGCUAUCCUCUGACAGCUCACUGUUGAUCUGAUGGCAGCUGAAAGGGCAAAAGAGAAAGGUUGAAGCAUUUUAGGAAGAUUUACGGAUCUUACAAGAAAAACAAUAAACAAAAUCAAACAAGGUUUAAAAGUGAACUUGGAAGUCACUGUAUUCCUGCAUGAAAGUCCCUACAGUUGUGACACUUCUUCAGUUUUCACAAUAACAUCAGACAAAAGAGGGUGAAAGAAUAAACAAUUCUGCUGCGAAUAUUCAAUGCCAGGAACAAGUGAAUGCAGGAAAACUGCUUCAGACACUAAUAACAACUAAAAUCACAGCAUCUUACCUGGAGCUAUGUUUGAUGAAAAGAGCAAAAGUUAGUUCUAAGAAGAGAACACAGCAGAGAAAAAUACAGAGACCUCUGCUUUGUUUACAUGGAGUAUCUCUGAAAAGCUUUUGCACUAUUACUUCCCCAGCUCAUCCUAGUGUAAGACAGCAGGGUAGGCUGGGCUAGGACAGAAAAUAACAUUUUUGCAUUGCUGACAGAAAAAUGGGAUGCUAUCCCUGCUAUAAAGUAAGUAAGAAGGGCUCUUUUUUAUAACUCCUACAUAUAUACUUAGCCCUAGUGCAAGUCGAUUAGCAUUUUUCUUAGUGCUUUUGUGGACACUGAUUUUUUUUUUUAUUUUUUUCCUGUAAGUGAGAGGACAUGUGGCAUGCCUGAGAAAUCCAGCACUGAUGGGACUUGGAAAUGCAGUUUGCUUAACUCAGAGCAACAGUAUCCAGAAACUGAUGGCUCAUCUACAAAAUGAACUGGUUGUUUCCCUUCAACAACUAAAGGACAAACGCCUUCAAUACAAAAUAACAUUACAACAGGCUCUUGCAAGUGGUCAUAGAAAAGUGACAAUGGAUUUAGCGGGGUUGAUUGUAUCACCUGGUUUCCAUUAGAACCUUUUUAAUUUUACCUGUAAUCAACCCUCAGGAGAUAGGCUUGCUAGCAAGGCACCAUGGCCAUCACGUAGUGGUUUCCUAUAUUCAUUAUAGCUCAGAUCUCUUCUGCAGAUUGAAGAUUCAGAGGUCAAUAAGCACCUUUCAGGAGCACUCCGUUCACAUUCAGAGAAUGUGGUUAUUGCACUGCCUUGUACUGGGCAUCGUCGCUUCUUUGCAUGCGUUCAACAGAGUGACAUCGACACUCCUGUCAUUUUGCUUGCACUUCAUGUUUCCGUCUUCAGCGUUUCUGAGACAGAGCAAGACCUGCCAAUCCCUAUCAGGAAUUUGAGGCUCUUCCCUCCAAUGUUUCUAGCGAAGUUAAAACAGCAGUGUCCAAGGCCUCUCUUUAUGAAGAACUUUACACUGGAGCUGAUAAUAGUGCCACCACAUUCAAACCCAGUUUGCUUGCCAGCUGGGAUGAUUGCACACAGAAAUAUAUGCUCAGAUAUAUGUUUAUUUGGAUUUCACUCUUAUUGUAAUAUUUUAAUCCUUUUCUGUGAAUCUGAGUCACGACAUCUUUUUCUUCCAAUAAAUGUCUCACAGGAAUUUUGUUUACUAAUUCUUUAACUAACAAAGGAAUACCUCAGGCCUCCGAGUUUUUUCAGAAAAGAGGCAUCAGAUCUACCCCUGCAGUGCAGCAUCAUCCAGACCAAACAGAAAGUGCUUCAUGUGCUCUUCCUUGCAUUAGUCUUGUGCAGAGAUACAAGCGAGUAUUUGCCAGGCCAGAACAUUUAUCAUCUGACUCCAUUUCAUCACAUGAUGGGUUACCUGUGGGUAAGGCUGUAAUUGAAGAGGGGUCGUGGAAGAUGUUUAUUCUUAGACAGUUCUGCCAAUCACAUACAGCAUAAGACCUUGGGAAUACUAAUAGCAUAGUCCAAAUGGGAUUCAGAUACUUGUGGCAUGUAGGUAGCCAACAGCAAUUCGGUGCUGAAGGGAGUCCACUGUGAGUGUUUUGCAAAAGUCAAGUUUUUCGCCCAAACAUCAGAUCACUGACAGAACCCCUAAGAAGUCAGAUGCUCGUUGUUCCACUGUUUUUUUCUCUGCAUCUAAGCUGAAUACUAAGAAUUCAGUAGCCUGAUAGUGGAUGGAAUGACCAUGUUUCUGAACAGUGAAAGCUAUUGGUAGGCCCAAGGUAGUAGGUUCUGACUGCCCUUGAGAUCUUUACGCCAAGAACAGGGGCACUGAGGUUGUUGUCAGAGUUACCUGUGUGUAAACCAAAUGCAUCAGGAGGGCCACUUUAGACCAGUUAUUGUCAAAGGUGUCUGUCAGAUCUCGUACUGUUCAGCCCCCACAGUCACAUGUGUGAGAAUGAGCCUUUGGAGCAAAGUUACUACUACCUUCUGCCCAGGCAACAGGCUCUUCUAAGCCAGGGAUUGAUUUUGCAUUCUAAACCUUGGAAAUCGAGUUCCAAUUGGCUGAGAACAGGACUGUAUUUGUACUGUUAGUGUAGAGCCUAGCACAACAAACACCAGCCUGUGAUCUUGUUCUUAUGUGCAAUGGUGUUGUGGAAGGCCAGAUAUCCAUGUCAAAAAUUAACUUUAUUUCCUACUAAAAAGCCCUGUCUUCACCGUGUCCAUGCUUGGGCACUGAAAAGAUUUUGGUUUGUGUCAGUCAUGGGUGACUCUUUGGAGUGUACAGAACUCACCAGAUUAUUCACGGAGGCUGCCAUGUAUUUCUGUUUGCAGACCACCUUAGUUACCCCUUUAAAUAUUGCAUCUGUCAUUAUCACAGUCUUUCAACCCCAUCCAAGUUGUUGUGAUUAUUUCCUAGAGUCUGUUUCUCCUGUAUUAGCAUGAUUGAUACAAAUAUAUUAAAGAAUUUCGCUUUUA